rnacentral:tRNA from 1 species
UAGUCUAAUGGUUAAGGCUUUGGAUCGCCAAUCCGGAGACGGCGGGUUCGAUUCCCGU